rnacentral:rRNA from 1 species
AGAGAGAGACAUGCGCGCAUAUCAAUAAGCGGAGGAAAAGAAACUAACAAGGAUUCCCCUAGUAACGGCGAGUGAAGCGGGAAGAGCUCAAAUUUGAAAUCUUAAAGGGUUUCCCUUUACGAAUUGUAGUUUAAAGAAGUGUGUUCUGUUGAGGUUUUGGUAAAAGUUCUUUGGAAUAGGACAUCAUAGAGGGUGAGAAUCCCGUAUUUGACCUUUACUUUCAACUUUGUGAUACACUUUCAAAGAGUCGGAUUGUUUGGGAAUGCAGUCCAAAAUGGGUGGUAAAUUUCAUCUAAAGCUAAAUAUUGGCGGAGAGACCGAUAGCGAACAAGUACCGUGAGGGAAAGAUGAAAAGAACUUUGAAAAGAGAGUUAAACAGUACGUGAAAUUGUCAAAAGGGAAGCGUUUGACACCAGUGUUGUUUUUCUGAAAAUCAAUUAAAGAACUGUUUAUGCUAAGCUGUUUAGACUUUAUCAGCUAAUCUGUUUAGUUUUGAGCUUUUCUUUAAUGCACUUUUCAGUUAACAAGUCAACAUCAAUUUCUUUUGCUGUAAAAAAGCUUGAGGAAGGUGGCUUGAGACUCGUCUUAAGUGUUUAUAGCCUCUUGCCUAUGCAGUCGGAGAGAUUGAGGUCUGCAGCGUAGAUCCUUCGGGGCUAAAUGCAUUUGUGCUAAGUUAUAAGCAUUUUAUAGACAACUUGUUGACUAUGAUUUGUCUUGUAGCUUACUCGCUUAUGUUAUUUUACCUACGCUUAGGAUGUUGACGCAUGAGAUAUACGC